rnacentral:rRNA from 1 species
UAGGGAAUCUUCGGCAAUGGACGAAAGUCUGACCGAGCAACGCCGCGUGAGUGAAGAAGGCUUUCGGAUCGUAAAACUCUGUUGUUAGAGAAGAACAAGGACGUUAGUAACUGAACGUCCCCUGACGGUAUCUAACCAGAAAGCCACGGCUAACUACGUGCCAGCAGCCGCGGUAAUACGUAGGUGGCAAGCGUUGUCCGGAUUUAUUGGGCGUAAAGCGAGCGCAGGCGGUUUCUUAAGUCUGAUGUGAAAGCCCCCGGCUCAACCGGGGAGGGUCAUUGGAAACUGGGAGACUUGAGUGCAGAAGAGGAGAGUGGAAUUCCAUGUGUAGCGGUGAAAUGCGUAGAUAUAUGGAGGAACACCAGUGGCGAGGGCGGCUCUCUGAUCUGUAUCUGACGCUAAGGCUCGAAAGGGUGGGGAGGGAACAGG